AACGAUAGGUAACUAUAUGAAAAAUACGAUACAGAAAUAUAGAAAGCCUAUCGUAUAUUUCAGAUAACCGAUCUAAUAUUUACGAACCAAAAACACGAUUCAAUUAGAUAGAACUUUUUCUUAUCUGAUUCUAUCGGAUUUUUUGAGCAGGGUGCUCAUCGUGACAGCGAAACUACCACGUCAGGGUAUGGAGCGUGGUUGAAAGGGUCAUUAACAAGACAUCCAAACGUCGCAUCAGUGAGAGCCGCUAUUGAAGCGGCAUUCGCCGAUAUGGACCGUGACACAUUAAAACAGGCCUGCGAACGCUUUAGACUGAGAAUGAAGGCGGUCAUUCAAGCAGGGGGAGGAUAUAUUGAAUGCAAGACAAUUUGCAACUAAGCUAUUCGGACAUGCAAAACAAAGUUAAACAUCCAAAUCAUUAUCUAAUGAACGAACUGAAGACGCUAUUACAUGUAAAGUGGAAAAAGUGCGCAAAAACAUUGUUUGGAGGCUGUUUCAAAAGAAAAUGCAGAAAGGGGAGUAUAAUAUAAGUGGACAGAAAUGUUGCAUUAAAUUGCAAGCAAUGAAACAAACUUAUAAGGCAAUUGAAGACCAUAAUAAAAAAUCGGGAAAUAGUGCAAAAAAAUGGAAAUAUUAUGAUAUUAUGGAUAAUAUAUUUAGUGAAAAGCCAUGGAUAGAACCCUUGUCAGUAGCUGGAACAACCUGUAACUCUAACGACUCUGAAAGUUUUGUUAAAGAAAAAACUUGUGAACAAUCUGGUAAUAAAAUAUAUUAUAAUUUAUAUACUACAAUCUGUAAAUGUAAUUUGCUAUAUAUACUUUAUUUUUUUUAAAUAUAUUUUUACAGCAAAACAGAAAAGAUUAAAUAUGGACAAAUAUUUAGAAAAUUUAUUAGAAAAAAAACGACUAAAGCGUGAAGCAGAUGACAAAAAACAUAACGAAAAAAUUGAACAGCUUGAAAGUAUAAGAAAAUUAUUAGAAAAAUUUAGUGUUCUUAGCCAGAAUAAAUUCUCGGAAACUUUGGAAAAAAGUUUUUUCCGAGUUUUUUUCUUUAACAUAUUUUUCCAGGUGUUUUUUUUUCUUAUAAGAUAAUCUUAUUUUUAUUUUCUUAUACGU